UAAGCUCCUUGGCAAGACUGCGAUUUCGCCUAGAUGAGGUUGCUUCAUAGACGAAGAAGUAAGCAGUGAACAAGAGGCCGAUCGCAAGCAUAGAGACAGCUAGGGUUGGGUAACAUGUGUCAGGGACGGGACUCGUGAUCGGUUUUGGAGCCAUUGGAGAUGAUGAAGAAGGAAGUAGGUCUCUCUCGCUUCGCUCUGGUCUCGAUCGAGAGAGUGAAGCCACGCGCUGGUAAAAGUUAAUAGGCUAAGAGCUUGGGGUUCAGUUUAUAUGACC
rnacentral:misc_RNA from 1 species